UUUUAUUAAACUGCUUUUCUCGGUAAUCUAAGCGGCAAAGAUGUUCAAAAAAACUUUAAUUUUUGCAUUAGUCAUAAUGCUUAUUGGAGAGUCAUUACAGCAAGGUGGAGGUGGCGCUGGUGGGCAAGGAAGUGGCAGCAUGGGAGGUGGCGGAGGUUUCGGUGGUGGUUUCGAUAUCGGCAUGAACGUUGGAGCUCAGGGCGGUGCACAGGGCGGGGCUCAGGGCGGCGGCCAGGGCGGCGGUCAAGGCAAAUAAUCAAAAGUUCCCAUGGGAUAUCCAUAUUUAUUAAACAUAUUUGAGUAGAGUAGA